GGCGACACUUGAACUCUGAACUUCAGGUAGGUCCUAUUGAAAAAUUUACUUAACUGAUGCU
rnacentral:snoRNA from 1 species